CUGAUCUAUAGGGAUCUCUGAGGAUCUAUAAUGAUCUCUGAGGAUCUAUAAGGAUCUCUGAAGAUCUAUACGGAUCUCUAAGGAUCCAUGGGGAUCUCUGAGGAUUGAUGAGGAUUCAUGAGGAUCCCUGAAGAUUCACGAGGAUAUUGAAGGAUCUCUGAGGAUCUAUAAGGAUCUCUGAGGACAUACAAGGAUCUAUGUGGAUCUCUAAGGAUCUCUGAGGAUCCAUGAGGAUUCAUGAGGAUCCAUGAGGAUCUGUGAGGAUCUGUUAACGGUGAAACGGUCUCUGACCAAAGUUCUGAAUCUGCUGACACGUGUUUACCUUUUGACGAUGAAGACGAGGGCUGAUGAAGAGGAGCAGAACCAGACUGGAUGACUUCAGAAGUUCUGCUGAAGUAUCGUCAGAAAAUGCCCUCAGAGGUCCCUGACUCACCUUCAGAUGAACUUUGACCCUCAGAAUGGUUUGAUCUGCAGGUGAGGAUCAGUUUUCUGGAACGUGGAGAUUUUUCUUCUCCAAACUGAACUGAUUCUGUUCAGAUUUGAGCAAAACUCCAGAGUUCCUCCAUCCUGAUGUUGCAAUGGGUGGGGGGGUUGGAUCCUCUCCGAACCUCAAAGUCUUCCCAACAUGACCUCAUCCCCUCCUGCUCCUCUCUGAUGAAGUCCUGCCCCCCCAAACCGGACCAAACCUGUUCUGUUCCAGCUCGAUCCGCUCGCUCAGCCCGUUUUCAAAGCAAACUUUGAUCUGUUUGCUCUCCUGACUCCACCACCUUCAUAAAAAACUGUUUUCAGUUUGUCCUGAAAAGGAAACAGAGUUCUGGUUCCUCUGAACCCUGAGGGGGGGAUUUGCCUCGGUUUGAUUUCAUCUGGAAAAUGUUUCUUCUCUCUGUAACUUUAGACUUUCUCCAAACACUCUGACCAUAAAAGGAUUCAGUGAAUCUCAUGAAACCCUCACAGUUCCUCUCAGGAACGUUUUCAUCGUCCGGUCGGUUCAGGAGCUCCAAUGUGACCUCCUGCAGGAGCAGCUUCACGAUGACCAGCAGUCAGAAGGACCAUCCUGACAUCUGAUCCAGUUCUCCUUCAGAGAGUCAGUCUCCCUCACAUCUGAUCUGCUGCAACAGGAGACAAGAAAACGUCCCUGCAGGUCAUGAAGGGUUAACAGCUGCAGCCUGAACCGCCACGGACAAACUCUGAACAUCCUCAGGCAGCGACUUUGGGCGGAGCCGUUGAAGAUCAGAUCCUCUCCGGAGACGGUCGGAGGCGGGAGCGUCAUCAUCCAGGAUGAAACCAAAACCUCAGACAAACUUUUGAGGUUUCUCUAAACUGUAAAUGUGGGAUCUGAGGUCAUGAAAGAAAACAGGAAACAGGUUUCUUGCUCCACUGAAGAUCCCGAGAAGAACGGAUUCUGGAUUCAGAUUCUGUUCACUCCAUCCGUGUUCCAUAGAUAAAACACAGACGGUGGAUGUGAAUCCGUCAGAAUCUUCAGGAAACUUCUGGGCCUUCGAUGACCUGAUGGUCCAUUUCCCGUCCAGACUCGUCUGAAUCUUCACAUGCAGACAGAAGCUCCGCCCCCUGCAGGUCCUGAAUGACGUCUGGAAGGCCGCCGACUCUUCAUGUUUUUGUCUCUUUAAAUAGAGACACCUUCUGAGGCUCCGUUUGACCUUGCAGAGCCCCGCCCCCCUCUGUGGCGAGCUGAGAGGUUGUUGGCGUGAGCGCGAGAUCAGCAGAUCUUCUGAAGGCCUCGCCGCCCGCAGAGGAGGAAGAUGCAGUCAGUGUUUGCAGCAGCACCACUGAUGGCGGCGGCCCUUUUUCCCACGGCGCCUGAACGUGUCUGGGCUCCUUCUGCCCAUGGGGGGCGUGGCCUUUCCCAAAGAUAUGUGUGACAGCAGAGCCAUCCGACCUUCAUCCUCCAGCGCUGAGCCACAUGUGACCCCUGUGACCCCUCCUCUGAUUGGCUGACGGCCCUCCAACCUGACGCCGUCCAAUCGGAGCAUCAGGAGUUUCCCCUCACUUCCUGUUGGAAUCCGGCGAUGAAAUAAACACGGAGAACUGUCAAUCACCUCCUGAGGAGAUGGAACUCCGAGGAUUAUGGGAUCUCCGACGGAAACACAAACUAGAGAGUUUCCCGAGUCUUCCAGGAUCGCCGAUCGGCUUCAUGUUUGACGACAUCAGACGAUCGUUUUUAUCCUUUUUCCAGAUCAAACAAACUGAAAACUGAUCAAUAUUUUGCUGUGAAUAAUCCCAACAGAUUAUCGGAGGUCAUGGUGUUGCUGGAGCCUAUCCUGGACAGUUCGUCAGUUUAUCCCAGAACGGUUCAAAAUUCAGAACCAGUGAAGCUGUUCCAGUGAAACCGAAGUUUUACCAGAAACCAGAAACUUUAAUGGAUCUGAAAAGUUUAUGGGUUUAAAAUAUAUUUGAGUUAUAAGUUGCUAAAUUAAAGUUUGUUUUUAUGA